GGCCCUAAAAUGAAUUUGCUGUGGGGCCCAGUAACUAGUCAUGCCACUGUAUGGGGGGAGGGGGUGUUUAGCUGAUUCAUUUUUUCAUACAGAUAACAGUUGUCAGAACGCAGAAUACUCAGCCCAAAGCUGCAGCAGAUGUGACCCCACAAUACAACGUUAGUGCUAAUGUAAGAGGAGUGCGAGAGCAGAUCUUUAUUUACACUAGGACUGUGAAUGGAUGGAAGUGGCUAUUGUUGUACUGCGCUGCUAAAGCUGUUGCUGCUUUUUAAAGGGCCAGCCACUGGUUUUAUCCCUUUGCUGACGCUCAAUACCUGGCCUCAUACAAGAGACACUUAAAACAAUAACAGGUCACGCCCUUUGCUGCUCGGACGAGGAAGGUUAAACUGUCUCCUUUGCAGCCCUGCCUACUACUCCUCCACCAUGAAGUAGGGGUAUGUUUAAAGUUGGGGGAUACAGAUGAAGCAGGGGCGUUAUUGCUCUAUCUCGCCCUGUCUGCAGCAGCGCUAGUUCCAGAUGACAUUGCGCGCCGGGCUAUUAUCACACUGCAGCAGUGGCUGCUCGGCACAGUGACGUGGGCUCAAUUGCUGCAGAGCCGAACGUGCUGCGCAUGCGCACACCGAAGCGAGCUGUCACCCUGCUCAAGCCACAAUCCAGUGACGUAACAAUGCAGGGAGCAGGCGUGGCCAAAAGGACUGCCGUGGGAAAAACGAAGGGAAAGGUGUCUGCUUGUAACCCUUUGCAGCCCUGUAUGCAGCGACACCGAGGAUAAUACGUGUAUGAGCAGGUGAAUAGAUCUCUGAGUAUGCUCACUGCAGGGCUGGACUCCAGAAACAAUGUAGCAGAACAGACCUGGCUGGAGAAUAAUGGAAUUAGCCUGAUCUAUUCACCUCGGCAAGUCCCAACAUGAAACUGCAAGAGAAUCAGACUAAUUGAGUGUGCAGCCAGCCUGAGGCCAGAGGACAAGUCCAGCCUGUAUGGGCCUUGAAUAUGCUUUGUUACCAGGCAAGCACAGCACAUACAGGCUCAUUAGCAACGUCAGGAGAGAAUUACAAUGGGAAGUUCCGGAAUCUUUUGCAUUGCUUUGGUAACCAGGUUUAUCUUUCUUGUCUCUGUGCAAUGCCGUCAACACCCCAUGGGAAGUGAAUUGAAGAGUUUACAUUCUGACUAAACCCCUCUGCUGCUAAUGAAGACAGGCCGCAAAGUCUGCACCUGACAGAUAAGGAUAGUGCACGGGCCUUACAUUUCCUGCCAUGUGCAAAUGGUUCAGGCAGCUGAGAGAUGGAGAUACCUUCUAAGCCCCUGUAACAUAACCUUUUUUUUCCACCAUGCAUGAAUGCAGUUAUUAAUAUGCAUCUUUGUCUCAGCCAGAAAGUUUUACUUCAUUUGGAUAUGGGAUCCUUUCCUCCAAUGCAAAAUGCAAACGGUUGUUUUAUACUUUA